GACGAACGCUGGCGGCGUGCUUAACACAUGCAAGUCGAACGGAAAGGCCCUGCUUUUGUGGGGUGCUCGAGUGGCGAACGGGUGAGUAACACGUGAGUAACCUGCCCUUGACUUUGGGAUAACUUCAGGAAACUGGGGCUAAUACCGGAUAGGAGCUCCUGUUGCAUGGUGGGGGUUGGAAAGUUUCGGCGGUUGGGGAUGGACUCGCGGCUUAUCAGCUUGUUGGUGGGGUAGUGGCUUACCAAGGCUUUGACGGGUAGCCGGCCUGAGAGGGUGACCGGCCACAUUGGGACUGAGAUACGUCCCAGACUCCUACGGGAGGCAGCAGUGGGGAAUAUUGCACAAUGGGCGGAAGCCUGAUGCAGCAACGCCGCGUGCGGGAUGACGGCCUUCGGGUUGUAAACCGCUUUCGCCUGUGACGAAGCGUGAGUGACGGUAAUGGGUAAAGAAGCACCGGCUAACUACGUG
rnacentral:rRNA from 1 species